CGAUGGAUCCUACAACACAUGAUUUGAAAGCAGUGAUUAAUUGUAGCUUUGUAAAGCAUCUCCUCAGUAUCUCUUUUUGAUUUGGCCUGUUCAGGGAGAGCACAGAAGUUGACUGUUAUGAAGUGUGUAGGGUGUGAGAUGUGCUGUUUCUCCAUUUUCAUUGUUCUCUGGGGAGCAAUCUUCCUACAGCAGGUAAUUGGAAGAAAACUUUCUAUUAAAGGAAUGCUUGAUACCAGUUACACACAUGCUUUUUGAAUAUUAACAUGAAAAUGUUGUCAUUACACCCUGUAGGUUAUCGUAACAUGUUCCUUAGCUGAUAGAGCACUGCAGCUGACUGAAUUCUAUUGAUUGUGUUCUGGAUCUGCAUAAAAGCAACACCAAAGAGAGAUUACACUGGGCAAUCUAAAGUAUCCCAGGGCAAAGACUGUUUUUUUGUUUUGUUUUCAAAUGUAGAGCAAGCCAAAAAUCAAUCUGUCAAAUUAAUAGUAAGGUGCUAGUUAGAGAAACAAACUCCUGCUUGUGUCAAUACAUCUACUGUAGUUUCCAUUAAAUGCUGUUGCAAUUUCUCUUUCUUCACUAGAUGCCACAUAUUUGACUGAAAAGUAGUUGCAAUAAUGUGAAGUUUUCUGGAAAGUCAUGAAUACCUUAUGUGAGUGGAAAUGCGUUCAGUUGCCUGUUGCUCCACAGCCAUUAAUCUGAUGAAUAAAGCGUUCACACAUGGGUUCACUCAGAGAGUUAACAUCUGAUUUUACAUUGAAAUAUUUGAAAGGAAAAGUACAGCCUUGCCUGAAGCCUGUUUAGAAAGAUUUUAGAGAUUUAUUUAAUGCAGUUUCUUGCCUUGGUUCCUGUUGUCUACUUAGAAAAGAAUGCUGUUUUGAAAUGUAAAAUGAAAUAAGGGGAAACAACUCAAUGUUUCUACCAGGGGGGCGGGGAAAUCCCUUGCCUCGAACACAUACAAAAACU